AUACUUACCUGGACGGGUCAAUGGGCGGUCAAAAAGACCUAUGGCCUACGGCCUAGGCUGGUGACUUCCAUUGCACUUUGGAAGGAUAUCCGUCUAAGGUCUACGUAAGUGGUGGAGCCUAGGUCAUAAUUUGUAGUAAUAGGGAUUUGCGUUUGCGCAGUCUCUGU